CUGAACAGCUGCUUCCUGGUUCUCCACGUGCUGCCAGCAGCGCUGGAGCUGCCCGAGCCGCAGCGGAGCCGCUGUUCUCAGCUGCAGCCAGGAUCUGCCCCCGGCCCCGCUGGGAUCCAGACAGGCUGCAGAAUGUUUUGCUCCAGCUCAUCCCAGCCUGGCGUGGGACAGGGAAGAGAAAUGGCUGCAGUGGAGUCAGUCCAGGGGCUGGUGACCUUCAAGGAGAUGGCUAUGUAUUUCACCAGGGAAGAGUGGGCUCUGCUGGACCCCACUCAGAGAGCCCUCUACUGGGAUGUCAUGCAGGAGAACUAUGAGACUGUGACCUCGCUGGGUAAGGGUUCCUGUCCCUUCUGUUCUUGGAAGGGGAAAUGAAGA